GGAGGAAAACAAGAAAAAAAAAUAUUCUGAAUCUCAGAAGCCAGAACAACAAGAGGGAUCGCUGCGCAGCGAAAGCAGCGAUCUCUCUUGCUGUUCUGGCUUCUGGGAUAGCUGUGCAGCCUGCAUUCGCUCCAUAAGACGCACACACAUUUCCCCUUACUUUUUAGGAGGGAAAAAGUGAGUCUUAUAGAGCAAAAAAUACGGUACAUU